rnacentral:rRNA from 1 species
CAGUUCGGAUUGUAGUCUGCAACUCGACUACAUGAAGCUGGAAUCGCUAGUAAUCGCAGAUCAGAAUGCUGCGGUGAAUACGUUCCCGGGUCUUGUACACACCGCCCGUCACACCAUGGGAGUCGGAAAUGCCCGAAGCCGGUGACCAAACCAAUAAGGAAGGAGCCGUCGAAGGCAGGUCUGAUAACUGGGUGAAGUCGUAACAAGGUAAC